UUUUGUAGUUGAACUUACAACGACGGCUUUUCAGACCGUUAGUCUUGGUUGAAGUCCUGGCAAAAAUU
rnacentral:tRNA from 1 species